CCUUGGCAUCAGGAGCCGAAGAAGGACGUGGGAAUCUGCGAUAAGCCUGGUGGAGUCGAUAACCGGACGUUGAGGCCAGGAUUUCCGAAUGGGGAAACCCAGCACGGUGUGAGUCGUGUUACCCGUCACUGAAUUCAUAGGUGGCGUGGAGGGAACGCGGGGAAGUGAAACAUCUCAGUACCCGUAGGAAGAGAAAACAAUUGUGAUUCCGUGAGUAGUGGCGAGCGAAAGCGGAAGAGGCUAAACCGAU
rnacentral:rRNA from 1 species